rnacentral:rRNA from 1 species
UGCAGUCGAGCGGUAGAGAGAAGCUUGCUUCUCUUGAGAGCGGCGGACGGGUGAGUAAUGCCUAGGAAUCUGCCUGGUAGUGGGGGAUAACGUUCGGAAACGGACGCUAAUACCGCAUACGUCCUACGGGAGAAAGCAGGGGACCUUCGGGCCUUGCGCUAUCAGAUGAGCCUAGGUCGGAUUAGCUAGUUGGUGGGGUAAUGGCUCACCAAGGCGACGAUCCGUAACUGGUCUGAGAGGAUGAUCAGUCACACUGGAACUGAGACACGGUCCAGACUCCUACGGGAGGCAGCAGUGGGGAAUAUUGGACAAUGGGCGAAAGCCUGAUCCAGCCAUGCCGCGUGUGUGAAGAAGGUCUUCGGAUUGUAAAGCACUUUAAGUUGGGAGGAAGGGUUGUAGAUUAAUACUCUGCAAUUUUGACGUUACCGACAGAAUAAGCACCGGCUAACUCUGUGCCAGCAGCCGCGGUAAUACAGAGGGUGCAAGCGUUAAUCGGAAUUACUGGGCGUAAAGCGCGCGUAGGUGGUUUGUUAAGUUGGAUGUGAAAUCCCCGGGCUCAACCUGGGAACUGCAUUCAAAACUGACUGACUAGAGUAUGGUAGAGGGUGGUGGAAUUUUCCUGUGUAGCGGUGAAAUGCGUAGAUAUAGGAAGG